AUUGUGAGAAAAGAAAAGUACCUACAUAGUAUCGCUAUGUUUGUGUUGUGAUAAUUACCAGUUGGAUAAUCAAACAGAUUGAAUUGAUUUAAACUGCUGUUGAAGAUUUGACAAAUGAUUUCUUUGAAGUAAGGUAGGAUCAGGUUGUGUGUUUAUACUUUUGAUAGUUGUUGAAAUAAGUCCUGAUUUGAAAUAGUUGAUUGUGGUUGUGAUUCAUUUUGUUUCGUUUGUUCCAAUUCCUGUUCAGAUAUAAUUUGAAAACCCUGGUUUUUGCAACAGGUUGUAAGUAGGUGAAAACUGUUCGACCAUUGAACACAUACAUUGAUAAAAAAAAUUAGUCUUUGACAUUAAAUUCGCUUUUUUUUUAGAUGUACGUUGAUGCAAUCUUGGGUGGUUUCAAUGAAUGGAUUUUUAAAAAAAAAAUUUGUCGUGGUUGAACUGGAGAGGGUGUGCUAAAUGAUGUUUCUACAUUUUUAAUAGAAUUUUCAAAUCAAAUAGAAGUUUCACUUCCUACAUCAAUUUUCUCAUCAUCAACCUAAUUAGAUAGAAUGUUAUUAUUAUUGUUAUCUCUAUUACUUAUGGAAUCCUUUUCCUUCAUGGUUUUAAAAAUUUCAUUUCAUCCGCAUAUUUCCAUUAUUUUAUAAAUAUUGUUUUUUACCUUAACAUUUUAAUAUAUUUUUUUAGCAGCUCUUCUGUAUCUAUCUCUUAGACUAGUCCAUAGUUUUUUGAAAUUGUUAACUAAAAAAAAAAUAAUAAACUGUUAUUAUUAAAAUAGAUACUAUAUUUUUUUUAUAGAUUUUUCAACAAAAUUUCAAAAGAAUUGACGUUCAGUCAGAUAGGAUUCGAAAAGUGGGCACCAGGUGUGUGGCAGCUGUUCACAUAGUUUUAUAAGUCAUCAUUUGUGCCAAACUUCAUUGAAAGCUUGUGCCAUGUCAAGGAAUACUCCGCUGCAAUACUUUUUCUCUUCAAGCGCUUUACUUAUUAUGUUGAUGACACGAUGGACUUCAUCAAUUUUUGAGUAUUUAUUUCGAAAUCCAAACUGAUGUUCCGGUAUAAGCUGUCUUUCUUCUAUCAACAGUUUUAAGUGUUUUAGAAGUAGUUUUUCAAAUAAUUUUGAGAUGUUUGGAAGAAGCAAAAUUGGUCUAUAUCUAAGUUACUUGUUCUGGUGGUUUUCCUGAUUUAAGUACCAUGACACUUAGGCUCGUUUCCAUUGUUUAGGAACGUAUUCCAUACAUAGGAUAGCAUUGAAUAUGUGUGUUAGAUGAAUCAUAGCUUUUUUAGAUAACUCUUUCAGGAUUUUUGGGUUAAUCUGGUCGUACCCAGGCGCCUUUUUUUGGGUUGAUAUUCAUAUCAAUUUCUUUUGCGAUUUCAACUGGCGUAAAGUCCUUUAUCUGCUUCAUUCAAUAUUUCUUUAGAUAACCCUGAUUGAGACAGUAACAAUCGGUUAUUUUCUAUAAUUGUACGAUUAGUUCUUUCAGCUAAACCAUUGUGCUCAGGAGUGUAUGGAGCAGUGUAGUUCACAACAAUUCCCUUUUGUGUGCAGAAAUUCUUGAAAUUGUGAGAUGUGUAUUCGCCUCCAUUAUCACAUCUUAAUGAUUGAAUUCUUUGUCUAAAAUGCACACUUACAACUGCUUCAUAUUUUUAAAAUAAUUAAGUACUUCACUUUUAUUCUCAAGCAAAUAAAUUACAUUAAAUUGUGUGUAAUCAUCAAUAAAUGUUAAAAUGUUGUUCAUACCGUUUUAGGAUAUUGGACACAUUAUUUUUAUUUAGAAUGAAGGGCUAUCUAGUCUGUUUGUUCAAAUACAAAGGUUGCCAAAAGUCACGCAACAAAUUUGCAACACAAUUUGUAAUAGUAAAAAAGUCGUUUAUUUCUUCAAAUAACAAAAAAAUGAACAUUACAAAGUAACAUCAUCUCACGGCAAUUGUAAUAAAUGUUUAAAAUGAUGUCCUCCAGCUUCAAUAACUGCUCCACAACGUUUUUUUAUAGCGUUUGUGGCGUUGUAAAGAUACGAAUAAUCGGUGCUCAAAAUUUAGGAUUCUUUCUCGAUUCGCUUUUUUAAAUGGAUCAAAUUUUGGAUUGGCGUCUUGUAUACUCGUUUCUGUACCACAAUCUUAUUAACAAAAUGAGUUUAACAAGCAACAAUUUUAAAGAGAGCAUUUCGGCAGUGUUACGAAUGAUAACGAAUAUGAAACUGUGUCUAAUAGGUUAUGUAGUUUUUUUAUAAACUUUGCUGUUGUUUUACGUAAACAAGAUAACGAGACCAAAGUUGCAAUAUGACGUAACGAAAACGAUGUGGAGGGAGAAACUGCGCCGUAACGCGCGUUCUAUACAAGACGGUAUGCGUUGCACGACUUUUAACCACCUCUGUAACUCUAUUUGGAUACCCAUUUGUUUAUGUCAUAAUACUCCGUAAAUAUUUGCCUUGAUACAGCUAAUGACAUUAAUGCUAUUAUCUCUAGUAUUGUCUAGAGUAAAAAUUAAUUUGUAUAGUGUUUGGGUUCUUUUAGUUAUUACUAUAACAUUUCAAUUUGAAUUCAAAAAAUUUGCUUGUCCUUUUUCAAAAAAAAAUUUAAAACCAAGUUCUUUAACUUUACCAACAGACAACAAAUUAUAUCUUAAAUGUGGAACAUAAUAUACAUUUAAAUUUACAUAAAGUAAUUUUACUUUCUACUUGACUAUCCAUUUUUGUUGAGGUUAGAUUUUCUCUAUUUUUAGCAACACCUAUGAUCAUUGGAUUUUCUAGUACUUUCAGAGAUGAAAAAUAUCUCACUGUUUACUAAAUGAUCGGAACUGCCUGAAUCAAGAUACCAUGUUAUUCCGUGUAAUUUUUCAUUUUGUUGCGAUAGCAACGUGGUUAUUGAGAAACACACUCUUUGGUCAUCAUUGUAUGAAACAUUGUUAGCUAUCAAUUUUGGUUUAUAUAACUCUUUGGAUCUGUUCUUUCCUUUAUAAAACGUUUUCCUUUUAAGCUUACAUUCAACCGAUUUAUGUCCAACUCUAUCACAAUUAUAACAUUUAAAAGGGAAUUUGCCAGUAUUUUUUGUGUUAAACGCUGCACUAUCAGAGGAAGACUAUUUAUUUUUAAUACUAUUACUUUUCUUUGCUUCUUCAUCUAGUAAACGACCCUUUACAAAUUCAAUUGCAAGAGUCUCUAGUGAAAGAGUUUCUAAUGCUAUAACUACAUUGUUUUAUGUUUCAGGUAUAGUUCAGACAUAGAGAAUGAUAAUUUUAUAACUGGGUUACUCAUCUGAAAUUGACACAUAAUGUAGAUAAAUGUAAUGUUAUGUCCUUCAGCAGAAGUAGAUAUCCAUUGCAAUAUAGUUACUCUCUGAAUGGUACCGUACUCCAUUGAGUGGUUUGCAUCAAAGACCUAGGGAUCCUCUAAACCCUUACCCUAAAUUGUGAGCAGUACAUUAAUGCUACAAUUUGUAAAACUUUAAAAGUAUUAGGGGUUCAUUAAGCAUAAUACAAACAAUUUUAACUCUGCUAACUGCCUCCCCAUUCUCUAUUUAGUCUUGGUCCGUUCAAUCUUAGAGUACGACAAGGUAGUGUGGUACCCUUAUCUUGUGAAGGACCAGCUAAGGUUGGAACGUGUCCAGGACAAAUUUUUGUCAUUUGCUUCAUUUGUUCUUAAACUUUAGUAUCCUCCACACAACUAUUCUCUUAUACUUGAUACACCCAAACUCCCUUCUACCAAGCGCCUCAAAGCUAUUUCUUCCCUUCAUAAUGGCUCCAUAGAUUCUCCAGAUCUCCUUUCCUUGAUUUGCUACCACGUUCUGUCAUUUAACACUAGAAGCGACCAUUUAUUUGCCAUACCAACUCACUCAACUUCAUAUUGUUAUAACCACCAGAUUCAUAGAAUCCUAUUAUUAGCCAAUCAAUCAAUAGUUUAAUCUUGUUUUAUAGUAUAUAAACUUUGUUACUACUGUGUAUUGUAUUUAUUUUUUUUAUUCUCAUCUUGUAAUUUACUGAUAUUGUUUAAAUUAUCGGUCUAGGCAAUAAUAAUUUUAAUAAAUAACCACCAAGUUAUUAUAGUUUUACCAUAAACAUAUAUAUUUAUAUGUCUGAAUUUUACCUAGUUUUUAUAGUUGAUAAUAAAAAAAAAAAUAAUACAGUAAACAGAUGAACAUUUUUUUUAUAUAGACGAAGAUAAACUAUAAUUAAAAGGGGUAGAAUAGUAUACAUACGUAUACUAAGUAUACACUUAUACUUUCUAUGCACAUAUAAGUUAUCUUAUUAUACAAAAAUGUAAACGAAAAACUUCAAUUUGUAAAGAUCUUCUCUAUAUCGUGGUGAUGUCCUAUCCAUGUUUUUAUUAUCUAUGGAACGGAAUGAACAUGAACCCAUAGACCACAGGUAAUAUAAUGAAUAUUCAUAUAAUAAAUAUUUUAUGAAUAUUGAGAUACUGAAAAUAGUCAUUAUCUUGAAAAAUAAAUAUUUGCGCAACAGUUUUCUCCCU